GGAGAAGGGUGGUACUUUGUGAAGAAAAUGCCUUAUUUUGAAGAGAAAAAUAGUGUAAUGGUUGCCGACUUCCUAUUUUGGGGAGAAAGCUGGUAUUUUGGGGGAGAAAAUGUUUUAUUUUCAAUAGAAAAUUGGUAUUAGCAGGUGAGAAGACUUAUUUUGGGGAGAAAAUUGAUAGUGAUUGGUUUCAAUUUGGGCUGAGAAAAUGUCAUUUUUGGGUGGUAACUGGUAUCCUGCAAGAGAAAACGGCCCAGUUUUGUGAGUAGUGUCAUUUUUUUGGUAGAGAAAAUGCCAUAUAUUGGGUAGGAAAGUGGUAUUUGGGUGGAGAAAAUGUUAUAUAUUUGGGAGAAAGUUGGUAUUUUGAGGAGAAAAUGUCAUAUUUUGAGGUGAGAAGUGCUAUUCUGUGGAAGCAGUGGUCAGAAUUUUUGGAGAAAAUUGGUAUUUGGGGGUGAAAAUAAAAUAUUUUUGCAAAAAAAAGUGGUAUUUGGGGGAGAUAAUGUCACAUUUUUGGGAGAAAAAUGGUAUUUUGGGGAGACGAUGUCAUAUUUUGGAGAAAAGUGGUGUUUUGGGGGAGGAAAAGUGUUAUUCGGGGGACAAAGUUGUCAUAAUUUGGGGAGAAAUCUGGUAUUUUCUGAAAAGAAUGCCUUAUUUUCCGGUGAAAAGUGGCGUUCUUCUGGGAAAAAAAUGCCUUAUUUUCGUGAGAGAUGUAGUAUUUUGGUAGAGAAAAUGUCAAAGACUGGAGAGGGAAGUGGUAUUUUGGGGGAGAAAAGUGGUAUUCAGGGGACGAUAUUGUCAAAUUUGGGGGAGAAAAGUGGUAUUUAAGAGAGAAAAUAUCGGUUUUUUUUUUGUUUUUUUGAAGAAAAGUGGUAUUUUCGAGAGAAAAAUGGUCAUUUGGGGGAGGAAAGUGGUAUUUUGCAAGAGAAAAUUUUAUAUUCUCAUGAGAAGUGUCAUCUUAUGCGUAAAAAAAAUGUAAUUUUAUGGAGAACAGUAGUAUAGAAAAUGUCUGAUUUUGGAGAACAAAUCUGUAUUUUUGGGAGAAGGCUGGUAUUGUGUGCAGAACGUGUCU
rnacentral:lncRNA from 1 species